rnacentral:rRNA from 1 species
AACGAACGCUGGCGGCAUGCCUAACACAUGCAAGUCGAACGAAGCCUUCGGGCUUAGUGGCGCACGGGUGCGUAACACGUGGGAAUCUGCCCUUCGGUUCGGAAUAACAGUUAGAAAUGACUGCUAAUACCGGAUGAUGACGAAAGUCCAAAGAUUUAUCGCCGAAGGAUGAGCCCGCGUAGGAUUAGGUAGUUGGUAGGGUAAUGGCCUACCAAGCCGACGAUCCUUAGCUGGUCUGAGAGGAUGAUCAGCCACACUGGGACUGAGACACGGCCCAGACUCCUACGGGAGGCAGCAGUGGGGAAUAUUGGACAAUGGGCGAAAGCCUGAUCCAGCAAUGCCGCGUGAGUGAUGAAGGCCUAGGGUUGUAAAGCUCUUUUACCAGGGAUGAUAAUGACAGUACU